UACGAAGGUGGCAAGCGUUGUUCGGAUUUACUGGGCGUAAAGGGAGCGUAGGUGGUUAGGUAAGCCCUCCGGGAAAUCUUCAGGCUCAACCUGAAAAGGUCGGGGGGGACUGCCUAGCUAGAGGGCGGGAGAGGAGCGCGGAAUUCCCGGUGUAGCGGUGAAAUGCGUAGAGAUCGGGAGGAAGGCCGGUGGCGAAGGCGGCGCUCUGGACAGUUACUGACGCUGAGGUACGAAAGCGUGGGGAGCAAACGGG
rnacentral:rRNA from 1 species